AACUUUCAACGGUGGAUCUCUUGGCUCGUGCAUCGAUGAAGAACGUGGCAAGACGCGAAAUGUAGUGUGAAUUGCAGAAUUCCGUGAAUCAUUGAAUCUUCGAACGCACAUUGCGCCUGUGUGUGUGGGCAUGCGCCAUUGUGUGCGUGUCUGUGCGUGCGGGCAUGUCUGCCUGAGUGUCG
rfam:Salpingoeca sp. ATCC 50818 unplaced genomic scaffold supercont1.7, whole genome shotgun sequence.